rnacentral:rRNA from 1 species
UACGUAGGGCGCAAGCGUUGUCCGGAAUUAUUGGGCGUAAAGAGCUCGUAGGCGGUUUGUCGCGUCUGCUGUGAAAACCUAAGGCUCAACCUUGGGCUUGCAGUGGGGUACGGGCAGACUAGAGUGCGGUAGGGGGUGACUGGAAUUCCUGGUGUAGCGGUGGAAUGCGCAGAUAUCAGGAGGAACACCGAUGGCGAAGGCAGGUCUCUGGGCAUUAACUGACGCUGAGGAGCGAAAAGCAUGGGGAGCGAACAGG